GCAACUUCACAGCUGCGUCUCCAGCCUGAGCUGCCUGUGGCAGCAGUACAUUAGAGAGAUGAAUUGGCCCGGCGUUAGGAGGGGAAGGAGGGGGAGGUGCACAGAGAGGACGGAGCUCAGCCCACCGGCAAAACAUCCCGGCAUCCCGGUGUACCAAUCCGCCCCUGAGUCAUGUGCUGCUAAUUAUUUAACUUGUGAUGCUGAGGAGAUUUGUAACACAUACAAGUCUGGAGGACUGGAGAUCACUGCUCUGCUGCAUGUUUUAUCUCUCAGCAACUUGGAGUCGGUCCUCCUAAACUCGAUGGAAAAGUAUCAACUCAAUGUGGAUCUAUGCUGACCUCUUAAGAGAAAUGACAGCAUUAUACUGUCAUAAGCUACCAUACCAGUGGGAUUAGCGAUAUGGAACUUCCUUAGCUGUGGAACGCAUUAAUCGUGCACUUCCGGGUCCGGGAAUGUGAUGGUGGAACGCAUGAAGAACUUCCUGUACAGCAGCAGUGAAACACAUACAUAUUUCCGCUUCCGCUUCCGGUCACGGACACCACGCUGCUGAUGGCUGGAAAAGCGGAUCCACAGGGUGUCCAUUAUAGUUAAUAGAUAAGGGUAUAAAUACCCUGACUACGGACACCACCACUAUGCUUCUGAGGAAGGACCAUAGUGUCCGAAACGCGUUAAGCAAGUGGUGUUUUUCUUUGGACUGACGGUGGACUUGCCUGGUACAUCAAAUAUUUUUACAUUGGUGGAAUCCGGAACUUCCAGUGUUUAUCCCUGAUGACAUCCUGGGAGGGUAAUUGAUGGGGUCUGAUGCAAGCACCUCACUCCUAUCCACAAUUGUGUGGUUACAUGCUUUUAAACGUUUGUCUAUUGCGAGUGUUCUGUGAAAAUGAAUUUCUUUGUCUCUGUGAAAAUGCUCUGCACUAUGAUCUUUUCUCUUGCCCCGAGAUAAGUACUUGUCCGUUUGGACGAAAUAUAGAGCAUAAGGAUAUGGAACUUUUUACGCUACUUGUUUGUUUGGACGAAGCACAGAGAAUUUGUAUAAGGAUACAGAACCAUCUAUUUGUAGGUUAUUUCAUUAACUGAAUUCUAUGUAUGGUUUUUGCACCUACUG